UAGUCUAGUGGUUAAGGCUAUGGAUCGCCAAUCCGGAGACGGCGGGUUCGAAUCCCGU
rnacentral:tRNA from 1 species